UACGGAGGGUGCGAGCGUUGUCCGGAAUCACUGGGCGUAAAGGGUGCGUAGGCGGCUGGGUAAGUCACGUGUGAAAGCCCGGGGCUCAACCCCGGAGCUGCAUGUGAGACUGUCCGGCUCGAGCACGGUAGAGGCGAGUGGAAUUCCUGGUGUAGCGGUGGAAUGCGUAGAGAUCAGGAAGAACACCGGUGGCGAAGGCGGCUCGCUGGGCCGUUGCUGACGCUGAGGCACGAAAGCGUGGGGAGCAAAC
rnacentral:rRNA from 1 species